rfam:Salmo salar isolate Sally breed double haploid chromosome ssa13, whole genome shotgun sequence.
GAAUGUACAUACUGUAAGCUGCUCUGGAUAAGAGCAUCUGCUAAAUGACUAAAA